UGUUCCACUCUACUCCAUGAUCUAGUUCAACAUAUUUCAAGAAACAAAAAAACAAAAUGAAAAUUUUUUGUAAGGUCUGUAAUGGUAGCAAGUGCCCAAGCUCAAAGCAUAGCAUUGACAUCUUUUUGGAGUGUGCGGUUAGAGCCUCUAUGGUUAACUUUCUUUCGUCAACGUAGAACGCCAACAUGAACAUCAUGUCCAUGGAUAUAAAAUGCGUAUAUUAUCUACUCAUCAUAAGG